UCCCCGCUGGUGUAAUGGUUAACAUCGCCGGUUUUCAUUCAGAAAACUAUCUGUACAUCUGUACCCGGCAGCUCGGGGUUCAAUUCCCCGGCGAGGAA